GGCCUGGGAGGGAGAAAGAGGAAAAAGAAUGAGGCUAAGGAAAGAAGGAGCUGAUGAGAGACAUCCAGGAGACCAAGAGCUUCACAGAGGACCAGUCUGUAAGGACUACAGAAGACUGCUGGUCAGCCUCCUACCAGGCAAGGAGCCCUCCUACUGCAGCCAUGGAGCCUGACAGGUCCUUCUGGAUCCUCAUCCUCUCCUAGAGAAUUAGUCC
rnacentral:lncRNA from 1 species